UGUGCCAGCAGCCGCGGUAAUACGUAGGGUCCAAGCGUUAAUCGGAAUUACUGGGCGUAAAGCGUGCGCAGGCGGUUGUGCAAGACCGAUGUGAAAUCCCCGAGCUUAACUUGGGAAUUGCAUUGGUGACUGCACGGCUAGAGUGUGUCAGAGGGGGGUAGAAUUCCACGUGUAGCAGUGAAAUGCGUAGAGAUGUGGAGGAAUACCGAUGGCGAAGGCAGCCCCCUGGGAUAACACUGACGCUCAUGCACGAAAGCGUGGGGAGCAAACAGGAUUAGAUACCCUGGUAGUCCACGCCCUAAACGAUGUCAACUAGUUGUUGGGGAUUCAUUUCCUUAGUAACGUAGCUAACGCGUGAAGUUGACCGCCUGGGGAGUACGGUCGCAAGAUUAAAACUCAAAGGAAUUGACGGGGACCCGCACAAGCGGUGGAUGAUGUGGAUUAAUUC
rnacentral:rRNA from 1 species